rnacentral:rRNA from 1 species
UACGGAGGGUGCAAGCGUUAUCCGGAUUCAUUGGGGGUAAAGGGUGUGUAGGCGGGCUAUUAAGUCAGGGGUGAAAUCUCCGGGCUCAACCCGGAAACUGCCAUUGAUACUAUUAGUCUUGAAUAUUGUUGAGGUAGGCGGAAUAUAUCAUGUAGCGGUGAAAUGCAUAGAUAUGAUAUAGAACACCGAUUGCGAAGGCAGCUUACUAAACAAUUAUUGACGCUGAGGCACGAAAGCGUGGGGAUCAAACAGG